GGGGAAUAUUGCUCAAUGGGGGAAACCCUGAUGCAGCAACGCCGCGUGAAGGAUGAAGGUUUUCGGAUUGUAAACCUUUGUCCUUGGUGACGAAACAAAUGACGGUAGCCAAGGAGGAAGCUCCGGCUAACUACGUGCCAGCAGCCGCGGUAAUACGUAGGGAGCAAGCGUUGUCCGGAUUUACUGGGUGUAAAGGGUGCGUAGGCGGCUCUGCAAGUCAGGCGUGAAAACUAUGGGCUUAACCCAUAGACUGCGUUUGAAACUGUGGGGCUUGAGUGAAGUAGAGGUAGGCGGAAUUCCCGGUGUAGCGGUGAAAUGCGUAGAGAUCGGGAGGAACACCAGUGGCGAAGGCGGCUUUCUGGACGGUAACUGACGCUGAGGCGCGAAAGCGUGGGGAGCAAAC
rnacentral:rRNA from 1 species